rnacentral:rRNA from 1 species
GACGAACGCUGGCGGCGUGCCUAAUACAUGCAAGUCGAACGCAGUGGGGACGGGUGAGUAACACGUGGGUAACCUCCCAUCAGAGGGGAUAACACUUGGAAACAGGUGCUAAACCGAUACUGAUGGAUGGACCCGCGGUGCAUUAGCUAGUGGGUGAGGUAACGACUCACCAGGGCCACGAUGCAUAGUCGACCUGAGAGGGUGCUCGGCCACCCUGGGACGGAGACACGGCACAGACUCAUACGGGAGGAGGCAGUAGGGAAUCGUCGGAAAUUGACGAAAGUCUGACCGAGCAACGCCGCGUGAGUGAAGAAGGUUUUCGGAUCGUAAAACUCUGGUGGUAGAGAAGCGGUAUCUAACCAGAAAGCCGAGGCAAACUACGGGCCAGCAGCCGCGGUAAUUC